CUCCUUUUGUUUCAGUUAAGCACAGUGGUUGGGUUUUCACUGUCAUGUGUGAGAUGUGUGUCCCUCCAGCCUUUUAGGAUAUCAGCACAUUACCCAUCUGAUG
ensembl:snoRNA